rnacentral:lncRNA from 1 species
UCCUCCUAAUCAUUUUCAAAGAGUGUCACUCCCUGAUGACUAGGCAUUCAAAUAUAUGAGCCUAUGAGGGCCAUUCUUAUUUAAACCACCAUACAUAGUAUUAUAGAACUUUCUCAGUUGCCCUGUUCCUACACUCACGCUCCAAGAACUCUGCUUUCCUGGCCUUACUCUGUCCUGAGCAUUUACUGUUUGAUAGUAGAGAUGGGCUGUACUCCCACAUUGUGCCAGUCAAUGUAUGUUGCUACCUAACAGUACCCAAGCACAAGAGUAAGGUUCUUUCUUCAUCAUACCUUGUUCUUCAUUUAGGGAUAAGUAAAGGAUGCUGGCACAAAGACAAUGGAGUCCCAGCCAUACUUAAAAGGCCUCUUCUAAUCCAAGCAUCUCGACCAACAUCACAGAAGCAGAACGAAUAUUACAUGGUUCUCUGACCGUCCACCAUGUUUUAUUUCCAACUGAUCUCUCUCUGAAUUUCCUACUCCAUCAUGUCUGUCUGGGUAAUUUCAGAACCAAAGAUUGGUGAAGACUGAGUUUCUCUGGGCUUUCUUUCCUCUGCACUAAGAGAAAAGUCUAUUGUAGGAAACCGUCUGUGAGAUUCGUUGACUGUUGGCACUAAUGAAAAGAAAAAGAAAAGAAAAAAGAAAACUUUCUUCCCUUAAAGCUAUUUCAAAGAUCUUAGAUAAUGAUAGUAGAAAAUAACCCCCAAAACAAGAAGAGCAAGAUGCAAAAGUUUAACAUCAGGCCUAUUUUGUCAUCCUGAAAUCUAACCCACUUUGCUUUGGUAGUGAAAUUUGAGCUGUUAUGAUGGGAAACGACGGGAAGUGUCUGUGUUUACCUAAAGAGUACAGUGUUUUCUCAACCCACUUUUUCACCAUGGCAAAGUUUGCCGUUCUUUGUUCAUACCUCAAACAAGUCAAAAUCACGCUUCUGUUUUCUUCCUGCCUUUCAUGUUGACAAACAGAUACAACUGGGGUUUUAAAAGCUAGAAUGGAAGAAAGAAAAAGGGAGUAAGGGAGAGAGAUGAAGGAGAAGAAGGAAAGAAUAAAAGAGGAGCAAUUGCCCA